rnacentral:rRNA from 1 species
UACGAAGGUCCCGAGCGUUGUUCGGAAUCACUGGGCGUAAAGGGAGCGUAGGCGGCGUGGUAAGUCAGAUGUGAAAUCCCGGGGCUCAACCCCGGAACUGCAUCCGAUACUGCCAUGCUAGAGGAUUGGAGAGGUAGCUGGAAUUCACGGUGUAGCAGUGAAAUGCGUAGAUAUCGUGAGGAACACUCGUGGCGAAAGGGAGCUACUGGACAAUUCCUGACGCUGAGGCUCGAAGGCUAGGGUAGCGAAAGGG